GAGUUUGAUCAUGGCUCAGGAUGAACGCUGGCGGCGUGCUUAACACAUGCAAGUCGAACGAACCUUCGGGUUAGUGGCGGACGGGUGAGUAACGCGUGAGAAUCUGCCCUCAGGAGGGGGACAACAGCUGGAAACGGCUGCUAAUACCCCAUAUGCCGCGAGGUGAAAUGAAUUUCGCCUGAGGAUGAGCUCGCGUCUGAUUAGCUAGUUGGUGUAGGUAAUGGCUCACCAAGGCAUCGAUCAGUAGCUGGUCUGAGAGGAUGAUCAGCCACACUGGGACUGAGACACGGCCCAGACUCCUACGGGAGGCAGCAGUGGGGAAUUUUCCGCAAUGGGCGAAAGCCUGACGGAGCAACGCCGCGUGAGGGAUGAAGGCCUCUGGGCUGUAAACCUCUUUUAUCAAGGAAGAAGAUCUGACGGUACUUGAUGAAUAAGCCACGGCUAAUUCCGUGCCAGCAGCCGCGGUAAUACGGGAGUGGCAAGCGUUAUCCGGAAUUAUUGGGCGUAAAGCGUCCGCAGGCGGCCCUUCAAGUCUGCUGUUAAAAAGUGGAGCUUAACUCCAUCAUGGCAGUGGAAACUGUUGGGCUUGAGUGUGGUAGGGGCAGAGGGAAUUCCCGGUAUAGCGGUGAAAUGCGUAGAUAUCGGGAAGAACACCAGUGGCGAAGGCGCUCUGCUGGGCCAUCACUGACGCUCAUGGACGAAAGCCAGGGGAGCGAAAGGGAUUAGAUACCCCUGUAGUCCUGGCCGUAAACGAUGAACACUAGGUGUCGGGGGAAUCGACCCCCUCGGUGUCGUAGCCAACGCGUUAAGUGUUCCGCCUGGGGAGUACGCACGCAAGUGUGAAACUCAAAGGAAUUGACGGGGGCCCGCACAAGCGGUGGAGUAUGUGGUUUAAUUCGAUGCAACGCGAAGAACCUUACCAGGGUUUGACAUCCUGCGAAUCUCUUGGAAACAGGAGAGUGCCUUCGGGAACGCAGUGACAGGUGGUGCAUGGCUGUCGUCAGCUCGUGUCGUGAGAUGUUGGGUUAAGUCCCGCAACGAGCGCAACCCACGUCUUUAGUUGCCAGCAUUUAGUUGGGCACUCUAGAGAGACUGCCGGUGAUAAACCGGAGGAAGGUGUGGAUGACGUCAAGUCAUCAUGCCCCUUACAUCCUGGGCUACACACGUACUACAAUGCUACGGACAAAGGGCUGCAAGUUCGCGAGGACAAGCAAAUCCCAUAAACCGUGGCUCAGUUCAGAUCGUAGGCUGCAACUCGCCUACGUGAAGGCGGAAUCGCUAGUAAUCGCAGGUCAGCAUACUGCGGUGAAUACGU
rnacentral:rRNA from 1 species